rnacentral:tRNA from 1 species
GGGGUUGUGGCUCAAAGGUAGAGCACUCACUUAGCAAGUGUAAGGCCCUAGGUUUGAUCCUCAGCACCA